rnacentral:rRNA from 1 species
AUUGAACGCCGGCGGCAGGCCUAACACAUGCAAGUCGAGCGGAUGAAGGUAGCUUGCUACCUGAUUCAGCGGCGGACGGGUGAGUAAUGUCUAGGAAUCUGCCUGGUAGUGGGGGACAACGUUUCGAAAGGAACGCUAAUACCGCAUACGUCCUACGGGAGAAAGUGGGGGAUCUUCGGACCUCACGCUAUCAGAUGAGCCUAGGUACGAUUAGCUAGUUGGUGAGGUAAAGGCUCACCAAGGCGACGAUCGUUAACUGGUCUGAGAGGAUGAUCAGUCACACUGGAACUGAGACACGGUCCAGACUCCUACGGGAGGCAGCAGUGGGGAAGAUUGGACAAUGGGCGAAAGCCUGAUCCAGCCAUGCCGCGUGUGUGAAGAAGGUCUUCGGAUUGUAAAGCACUUUAAGUUGGGAGGAAGGGCAGUAAGUUAAUACCUUGCUGUUUUGACGUUACCGACAGAAUAAGCACCGGCUAACUUCGUGCCAGCCGCCGCGGUAAAAC